GUCCCUUCGGGGACAUCCGAUAAAAUUGGAACGAUACAGAGAAGAUUAGCAUGGCUCCUGCGCAAGGAUGACACGCAGGCAAGUCUCUGUCGUCCCUUUAU